UGAUCAUGGCUCAGGAUGAACGCUGGCGGCGUGCCUAAUACAUGCAAGUCGUACGAACAGCGGAAAGUGCUUGCACUUUCCAAGUAAGUGGCGAACGGGUGAGUAACACGUGAAUAACCUACCUCAAAGACUGGGAUAACCAUUGGAAACAGUGACUAAUACCGGAUAAAACCCAGUAGCACAUGCUACAAGGUUAAAAGCUGCGUUUGCAGCGCUUUAAGAUGGAUUCGCGGUGCAUUAGUUAGUUGGUGAGGUAAAGGCUCACCAAGACAAUGAUGCAUAGCCGAGUUGAGAGACUGACCGGCCACAUUGGGAC
rnacentral:rRNA from 1 species